rnacentral:rRNA from 1 species
AUUGAACGCUGGCGGCAGGCCUAACACAUGCAAGUCGAACGAGUGGCGGACUGGUGAGUAAUGUCUGGGAAACUGCCUGAUGGAGGGGGCUAACUACUGGAAACGGUAGCUAAUACCGCAUACCAUCGGAUGUGCCCAGAUGGGAUUAGCUAGUGGGUGGGGUAACGGCUCACCUAGGCGACGAUCCCUAGCUGGUCUGAGAGGAUGACCGGCCACACUGGAACUGAGACACGGUCAAGACUCCUACGGGAGGCAGCAGUGGGGAAUAUUGCACAAUGGGCGCAAGCCUGAUACAGCCAUGCCGCGUGUAUGAAGAAGGCCUUCGGGUUGUAAAGUACUGUCAGCGGGGAGGCGUUACCCACAGAAGAAGCACCGGCUAACUCCGUGCCAGCAGCCGCGGUAAUAC